UGGGGAAUCUUAGACAAUGGGGGCAACCCUGAUCUAGCCAUGCCGCGUGAGUGAUGAAGGCCUUAGGGUUGUAAAGCUCUUUCAGCUGGGAAGAUAAUGACGGUACCAGCAGAAGAAGCCCCGGCUAACUCCGUGCCAGCAGCCGCGUUAAUACGGAGGGGGCUAGCGUUGUUCGGAAUUACUGGGCGUAAAGCGCACGUAGGCGGACUGGAAAGUUGGGGGUGAAAUCCCGGGGCUCAACCUCGGAACUGCCUUCAAAACUAUCAGUCUGGAGUUCGAGAGAGGUGAGUGGAAUUCCGAGUGUAGAGGUGAAAUUCGUAGAUAUUCGGAGGAACACCAGUGGCGAAGGCGGCUCACUGGCUCGAUACUGACGCUGAGGUGCGAAAGCGUGGGGAGCAAACA
rnacentral:rRNA from 1 species